rnacentral:rRNA from 1 species
ACUCCUACCCUUCUGUGACCUACCUAUCGUUGCUUCGGCGGACUCGCCCCAGCCCGGACGCGGACUGGACCAGCGGCCCGCCGGGGACCUCAAACUCUUGUAUUCCAGCAUCUUCUGAAUACGCCGCAAGGCAAAACAAAUGAAUCAAAACUUUCAACAACGGAUCUCUUGGCUCUGGCAUCGAUGAAGAACGCAGCGAAAUGCGAUAAGUAAUGUGAAUUGCAGAAUCCAGUGAAUCAUCGAAUCUUUGAACGCACAUUGCGCCCGCCAGCAUUCUGGCGGGCAUGCCUGUUCGAGCGUCAUUUCAACCCUCGACCUCCCCUGGGGGAGGUCGGCGUUGGGGACCGGCAGCACACCGCCGGCCCUGAAAUGGAGUGGCGGCCCGUCCGCGGCGACCUCUGCGUAGUAAUACAGCUCGCACCGGAACCCCGACGCGGCCACGCCGUAAAACACCCAACUUCUGAACGUUGACCUCGAAUCAGGUAGGACUACCCGCUGAACUUAAGCAUAUCAA